UACAGAGGUCUCAAGCGUUGUUCGGAUUCAUUGGGCGUAAAGGGUGCGUAGGCGGCGCGGUAAGUCGGGUGUGAAAUCUCGGAGCUUAACUCCGAAACUGCAUUCGAUACUGCCGUGCUUGAGGACUGGAGAGGAGACUGGAAUUUACGGUGUAGCGGUGAAAUGCGCAGAUAUCGGGAAGAACACCCGUGGCGAAGGCGGCUCUCUGGAACGCAACUGACGCUGAGACGCGAAAGCGUGGGGAGCAAACAGG
rnacentral:rRNA from 1 species